UACGAAGGGUGCAAGCGUUACUCGGAAUUACUGGGCGUAAAGCGUGCGUAGGUGGUGAAUUAAGUCUGAUGUGAAAUCCCCGGGCUCAACCUGGGAAUGGCAUUGGAUACUGGCUCGCUAGAGUGCGGUAGAGGGUGGUGGAAUUCCCGGUGUAGCAGUGAAAUGCGUAGAGAUCGGGAGGAACAUCUGUGGCGAAGGCGGCCACCUGGACCAACACUGACACUGAGGCACGAAAGCGUGGGGAGCAAACAGG
rnacentral:rRNA from 1 species